rnacentral:rRNA from 1 species
CCUUGAUGGCGACCGGCGCACGGGUGAGUAACGCGUAUGCAACCUGCCCGAUACCGGGGUAUAGCCCAUGGAAACGUGGAUUAACACCCCAUAGUACUUUUAUCCUGCCUGGGAUGGGAGUUAAAUGUUCAAGGUAUCGGAUGGGCAUGCGUCCUAUUAGUUAGUUGGCGGGGUAACAGCCCACCAGGACGAUGAUAGGUAGGGGUUCUGAGAGGAAGGUCCCCCACAUUGGAACUGAGACACGGUCCAA